rnacentral:tRNA from 1 species
GGGGGCGUAGCUCAUUUGGGAGAGCGCUUGACUGGCAGUCAAGAGGUAGUGGGUUCGAUCCCCAUCGCUUCCACCA